UACAGAGGGUGCAAGCGUUAAUCGGAAUUACUGGGCGUAAAGCGCGCGUAGGUGGUUCGUUAAGUUGGAUGUGAAAGCCCUGGGCUCAACCCAGGAACUGCACCUGAAACUACCAGUCUUGAGUGGUGGAGAGGGAAGUGGAAUUCCUGGUGUAGAGGUGAAAUUCGUAGAUAUCAGGAGGAACACCGGUGGCGAAGGCGGGUCUCUGGGCCGAUACUGACGCUGAGGAGCGAAAGCGUGGGGAGCGAACAGG
rnacentral:rRNA from 1 species